rnacentral:rRNA from 1 species
AUACGGAGGGUGCGAGCGUUAAUCGGAAUUACUGGGCGUAAAGGGUGCGUAGGCGGCUUGAUAAGUCGGAUGUGAAAGCCCCGGGCUUAACCUGGGAAUUGCAUUCGAUACUGUCAGGCUAGAGUAUGUCAGAGCUUGGCGGAAUUCCUGGUGUGGCGGUGAAAUGCGUAGAUAUCAAGAGGAACACCAGUGGCGAAGGCGGCUAACUGGGACAAUACUGACGCUGAGGCACGAAAGCGUGGGGAGCAAACAGGAUUAGAAACCCUAGUAGUCC